UGGGGCUGUAGCUCAGUUGGAUAGAGCGAUCGCCUCCUAAGCGAUAGGUCGCGCGUUCGAGCCGCGCCAGUCCCGU
rnacentral:tRNA from 1 species